UACGAAGGGUGCAAGCGUUACUCGGAAUUAUUGGGCGUAAAGCGCGCGCAGGUGGUUUCUUAAGUCUGAUGUGAAAGCCCACGGCUCAACCGUGGAGGGUCAUUGGAAACUGGGAGACUUGAGUGCAGAAGAGAAGAGUGGAAUUCCAUGUGUAGCGGUGAAAUGCGUAGAGAUAUGGAGGAACACCAGUGGCGAAGGCGACUCUUUGGUCUGUAACUGACGCUGAGGCGCGAAAGCGUGGGGAGCAAACAGG
rnacentral:rRNA from 1 species